rnacentral:rRNA from 1 species
UAACAAGGAUUCCCCUAGUAACGGCGAGUGAAGCGGGAAGAGCUCAAAUUUAAAAUCUGGCAGUCUUUGGCUGUCCGAGUUGUAGUCUAGAGAAGUGUUUUCCGCGCUGGACCGUGUACAAGUCUCUUGGAACAGAGCGUCAUAGAGGGUGAGAAUCCCGUCUUUGACACGGACUACCAGUGCUUUGUGAUGCGCUCUCAAAGAGUCGAGUUGUUUGGGAAUGCAGCUCAAAAUGGGUGGUAAAUUCCAUCUAAAGCUAAAUAUUGGCGAGAGACCGAUAGCGAACAAGUACCGUGAGGGAAAGAUGAAAAGCACUUUGGAAAGAGAGUUAAACAGUACGUGAAAUUGCUGAAAGGGAAACGCUUGAAGUCAGUCGCGUCGACUAGAACUCAGCCUUGCUUUUGCUCGGUGCAUUUUCUAGUAGACGGGCCAGCAUCAGUUUUGAUUGCAGGAUAAAGGUCAGGGGAAUGUGGCACCUUCGGGUGUGUUAUAGCCUCUGAUUGCAUACUGUGAUUGGGACUGAGGAUCUCAGCACGCCUUUAUGGCCGGGGUUCGCCCACGUUCGUGCUUAGGAUGCUGGCGUAAUGGCUUUAAACGAC